CUCGCGCUACCAUGCAAGUCGAGCGGAUGAGAGGAGCUUGCUCCUUGAUUUAGCGGCGGACGGGUGAGUAAUGCCUAGGAAUCUGCCUGGUAGUGGGGGAUAACGUUCCGAAAGGAACGCUAAUACCGCAUACGUCCUACGGGAGAAAGCAGGGGACCUUCGGGCCUUGCGCUAUCAGAUGAGCCUAGGUCGGAUUAGCUAGUUGGUGAGGUAAUGGCUCACCAAGGCGACGAUCCGUAACUGGUCUGAGAGGAUGAUCAGUCACACUGGAACUGAGACACGGUCCAGACUCCUACGGGAGGCAGCAGUGGGGAAUAUUGGACAAUGGGCGAAAGCCUGAUCCAGCCAUGCCGCGUGUGUGAAGAAGGUCUUCGGAUUGUAAAGCACUUUAAGUUGGGAGGAAGGGCAUUAACCUAAUACGUUAGUGUUUUGACGUUACCGACAGAAUAAGCACCGGCUAACUUCGUGCCAGCAGCCGCGGUAAUACGAAGGGUGCAAGCGUUAAUCGGAAUUACUGGGCGUAAAGCGCGCGUAGGUGGUUCGUUAAGUUGGAUGUGAAAGCCCCGGGCUCAACCUGGGAACUGCAUCCAAAACUGGCGAGCUAGAGUACGGUAGAGGGUGGUGGAAUUUCCUGUGUAGCGGUGAAAUGCGUAGAUAUAGGAAGGAACACCAGUGGCGAAGGCGACCACCUGGACUGAUACUGACACUGAGGUGCGAAAGCGUGGGGAGCAAACAGGAUUAGAUACCCUGGUAGUCCACGCCGUAAACGAUGUCAACUAGCCGUUGGGUUCCUUGAGAACUUAGUGGCGCAGCUAACGCAUUAAGUUGACCGCCUGGGAGUACGGCCGCAAGGUUAAAACUCAAUGAAUUGACGGGGCCCGCACAA
rnacentral:rRNA from 1 species